AGAGUUUGAUUAUGGCUCAGGAUGAACGCUAGCUACAGGCUUAACACAUGCAAGUCGAGGGGCAGCAUGAACUUAGCUUGCUAAGUUUGAUGGCGACCGGCGCACGGGUGAGUAACACGUAUCCAACCUUCCGUUUACUCAGGGAUAGCCUUUCGAAAGAAAGAUUAAUACCUGAUAGUAUGGUGAGAUUGCAUGAUAACACCAUUAAAGAUUCAUUGGUAAACGAUGGGGAUGCGUUCCAUUAGGUAGUAGGCGGGGUAACGGCCCACCUAGCCUACGAUGGAUAGGGGUUCUGAGAGGAAGGUCCCCCACAUUGGAACUGAGACACGGUCCAA
rnacentral:rRNA from 1 species